rnacentral:tRNA from 1 species
CGGGAUAUAGCAUAUAGAAUGCUUUUUACUUACACUAAAACUAAAACAUCAGUUUAUCCCGC